rnacentral:snRNA from 1 species
GUACUCGCUUCGGCAAUACAUAUACUAAAAUUGGAACGAUACAGAGAAAAUUAGUAUGGUCCCUGCGCAAAAACGUGAAACGUUCCACAUUUUG